GGUUCCUGGGACAACAGAAAAAGCAAAGCACCAUGAGAUUGUGUCGCACACAGAAGUUCAUUACUAGGAUUAUAUAAAUUUUUCUGGCUUCAAAAUGCAAUUUGAAUCACUAUGAACAUUACUGGAAAGAGGGAAGGCUCCUACAACUUAAAAUUUCUUGCCAAGACAAAGGCCAAAGUUAAUGUUCAGUUUCAUAUCUGGUUCGAACAACUGUCCGAAUCAGUGGGGAGUUUACAUUUACCUUCAAGUAUGCGGCGAGGCAUCCUUCAGUUGGCCUGCAGAACAUAAAGGAAGAAGCUUGCAACAAAAUAUCCAAUUCAGGGACAGGGACAUUUGUUUGUGAUGUCCAGACACAGAUGGGAUUUGUUGUUCUCAACAACAGCUAAUUGAAAAGAACAAGAAAUGUGUUCAUGGUAAUGAAUGAAAUGAGUAUUCAUACUCCCGUAGUAUCAGAAACUUCCCGUAUCAACGUCACAGCGGGAAAGCUCACGCCCAACUCGUUCAGAACUCAGAGAGAGAGAGAAAUGGGAAAAGUAAGUUUUUAUUGGAAAGUAGUUUCGAAAUUGAAUGCACACUGUCCACAGUUGUUUGUCAGCUGCUACAAAAAAGAAAAGGAAAGAAAAAGAAAACAGGGCACUAUUCAAUUCCAUUGCUGUUCACCCAGAAUUCUCUUUUUUUUCCCUCUUUUUUUUCUGACCCAUUUCAAUUCAAUGCCCUUUCCAAAAUCUGGGAUAUGCGUAUCA